rnacentral:rRNA from 1 species
GAUGAACGCUGGCGGCGUGCCUAAUACAUGCAAGUCGAGCGAACGGACGAGAAGCUUGCUUCUCUGAUGUUAGCGGCGGACGGGUGAGUAACACGUGGAUAACCUACCUAUCAGACUGGGAUAAUUUCGGGAAACCGGAGCUAAUACCGGAUAAUCUUUUGAUCCGCAUGGUUCAAAAGUGAAAGACGGUCUUGCUGUCUCUUCUCGAUGGAUCUAGGCUGCAUUAGCUAGUUGGUAAGGUAACGGCUUACCAAGGCAACGAUGCAUAGCCGACUUGAGAGGGGGAUCGGCCACACGAGAACUGAGACACGGUCCAGACUCCUACGAGAGGCAGCAGUAGGGAAUCUUCCGCAAUGGGCGAAAACCUGACGGAGCAACGCCGCGUGAGUGGUGGAAGUCUUCGGAUCGUAAAACUCUGUUAUUAGGGAAGAACAUAUGUGUAAGUAACUGUGCACAUCUUGACGGUACCUAAUCAGAAAGCCACGGCUAACUACGUG